CAGCGAUCAAAUCUGGUCGAAAAUACUGUUUCCCGUCCGAUCAACGAACGUCAAGCGCCCAAGAGCCACAGUGAGUAAUACAGUGGGAGACCAUGUGUGAAAUUGUGGUGUUGCUGUCUU